GGGGGAAAAAGCUCUAUCGACUGGAUCAAUUUGGGAAGACCAAGGUGGAAGAAUAGAGGGGCAAACGAGUGGAAGAAUUUUGGAGAGGUGAUUUUAUGUCGUUUGGAUCAGUAUUGGAUUUUGAGGAAUUUUCAAAGCGAGUAAUGUUCUCUGUGAUUUUAGAUCUUUGAGAAAUAAAACCGGUUUACAAAUUUGUGGAUUUCGUGAUUUUUGUAGCAUUUUUAUAGAUAUAAAUUUAGAAACUUAUUGGUAUGCUUGUUGUCAAUGUGUAUAAGAGGUUUGAGGUCAAUCGAAUGGCUAGAUCGAUACAUACAAAGAUUUUGUGAGCUAAGGUCUCGGGAUUUAGGAUUUUGAAGACCAGUAAGAUUUUCUUAGAUAUCUAACAAUCUGCCUAUUAGAUUGGGGAGAUUUUUAG
rnacentral:lncRNA from 1 species